rnacentral:rRNA from 1 species
UGGGGAAUAUUGGACAAUGGGCGAAAGCCUGAUCCAGCAAUGCCGCGUGAGUGAUGAAGGCCUUAGGGUUGUAAAGCUCUUUUACCCGGGAUGAUAAUGACAGUACCGGGAGAAUAAGCCCCGGCUAACUCCGUGCCAGCAGCCGCGGUAAUACGGAGGGGGCUAGCGUUGUUCGGAAUUACUGGGCGUAAAGCGCACGUAGGCGGCUUUGUAAGUUAGAGGGGAAAGCCCGGAGCUCAACGCCGGAACUGCCUUUAAGACUGCAUCGCUUGAACGUCGGAGAGGUAAGUGGAAUUCCGAGUGUAGAGGUGAAAUUCGUAGAUAUUCGGAAGAACACCAGUGGCGAAGGCGACUUACUGGACGACUGUUGACGCUGAGGUGCGAAAGCGUGGGGAGCAAACA